UUGAAUGAAUCUAGAGUUGGUUGUCGCUGGCCCCCCCCUAAAUAAUAAUAUUGUUGGGGGCAUGUGCACGCCUUCUCUUUUCAUCCACACACACCUGUGCACUUGUGAGAUGGAUGGAUUGUAAAAGUCCUCCAUCUACUUAAUCACACAAACUCAUCCUACUUAAACUGAAUGUAAUUGAUGUAACACAUCAUUUGAAC
rnacentral:misc_RNA from 1 species